UCUUUUCCUUCCCUAUUUCAGCAAUGAGCAAUAAUAUAUCAUUUGAUAUAUUUUUGCUUUUCUUUCUCAAAUACACAAAAAGAAGUGACAAAAAAAUACAGAAAAAGAAGAAAACAACCCUAAUCCUUAUCCCUCUUUUCACUAAAACCCUUUUCCUCUUUCUCUUUUCACGCAUCAUACCUUCACCCUCCCUUCUUCUGCGAGCGAAACCCUCACCCUCACCUCAGCGCUGCGCCAUUCUUUCACCACUUCCCCAAUCGUUACGUUGUUGAGCUAAGUGUACGUUUCAGAGCCGUCAUCUUCUCAUUCUAUCGAUUCUGUAAGUUUACAAAUUUGGUUCAAUUUCUCUUUUGAUUAUAGUCUUCUCCUCAUUCUUUAAUGGAUUCUGAUUCCAAUUUCAAUUUUUCAUCCAAACCCUAAUAUUCAUAUGAACCCUAAAUAUGAAUUAGUUCUCUCUUGUUACAAAUUUCAAUUUUUCAUUGUUUAUUGUUCAAAUUUCAUUCUCAAUUUACAAUAGAUUUAUCUUAUAAAAAAUUGAAAUGCAUAAUACUCUAAAUUUUUACCAAUAAACUUCAAGGGAUUGUUUCAUAAUUUAUUCUGCUUCUUAAUGGGUUUUACCAUUUUUUGUCAUUGUUCCCUUUGUCUUGUGUUUGACUUGACUGAUAUGUUGAUUUUAGGCACAUUAUUGGGUAGUUAGAGAAUGGUAAAUUUUUUAUAGCAGUUACAAUCGUAGCAAGCCACUUACUUUCACAUUGUUGAUGUUUGAUAUAACAAGAACAAGAAGCAAGUAAAACAGGAUGAUACGUCUCAAUUUCGGACUCAGUUUGGAUUCUCUAGUCCUUUGCAUUGUCGAAUUGACAACAAACGAUAAAGUUUCUUCAGUGGAAGCCAUUCUCACAAUGUUUAACUUCAAUGCAUUAGGAAGAGUUUAAGAAAAUGAAUCACACUAAGUGAAUUGCAAAUUUGGCUUUAGUUGGUUUGCUUAUCUUAUUGCUUCAGGCCGAAGCAGUGCUUCAGUGAUGUUGCUGUCAUCUUUUUUUUUUUUGAAGUGUUUAGUGGUUUCUAGUUCUGUUUUUAGGAGGGCAUCAUGGAGAUAAAGAACUUUCAAUUUCCUUCGCCGGUGACAAAAAUUUCAAUUCUUGAGUGCGCUUUAUUUCUCUGAGAGGUGGAUGUAGCUCAUUCUGUAGCAGUCAAUACUUGUGCGCUUUUAUAUUGAUUAAAUUUAACUUUUAAGGUAAUAGAAAAUUGAAGCGAAAGGUUCUUACAACUUUUUAAUGUGUGUGUGCGCGUGUUGAAAAAAAUCUUGCAUAUGUUCCACCAGUUUGACACUACUGUCACCAGUUUGACAUCUCAUCAUUAACUGUCACCAGAACCAUUAAUUGUAGCUCCUCUUUUACUUAUGCACGCAUGUAGUCAUUUUUAAACCUUGUGCAUAAGUAGUUUAACUCUGCUUUUCAUUAUUGAGUUUUCCUAUCAAAAUGUAUGCUAGUGUUUAGAACAUAGUUGGCUUAUAGAUAAGUAGCAAUAUUUUAUAAGGUUGCUCUAUCCUCUAUGACUUUUUUUUUUCUUCUUCCGAGUUGACUAGUUUUUUUCAAUUGCUUGAAUUUGGCGAUGUGACACUCACCUUUUAGACUUUUAGUCUUGCUUUGUUCAUGUGUGAUUUUUCUAUCAAAAUUCUUAAAUUUGAUGGUAUAAGUUAGGUCUAUUUUGAUGGGUUAUAUAUUUUGUGGGUUAUGUAUUUUGUGGGAUAUUUUGGUGGGUUAUAUAUUAGUGAGUUAUAUUUUGAUUGAUGGUAAGUUAGGACUAUUUUAAUGGAUUAUAUAUUUUGCGGGAUAUUUUGGUGGAUGUAGACAUUUUUUGUUGAAAUUAUAUAUGGUUAUAUAUUAGAAAUAGAAGGUCUAGUAAAGAACUACUUAAUUUGUAUUUUAGAUGUACUAAUACUAAUUGUUUGUUGAUUUUCCAUCAGCUACAAAGCUAUAUUU